GGGCGAUUAGCUCAGUGGUAGAGCACUCGCUUCACACGCGAGGGGUCACUGGUUCAAACCCAGUAUCGCCCACCA
rnacentral:tRNA from 1 species